rnacentral:rRNA from 1 species
UACGAAGGGGGCUAGCGUUGUUCGGAAUUACUGGGCGUAAAGCGUGCGCAGGCGGCUUCUCAAGUCAGGGGUGAAAGCCCAGAGCUCAACUCUGGAAUUGCCUUUGAGACUGAGUGGCUUGAGUACGGGAGAGGUGAGUGGAAUUCCGAGUGUAGAGGUGAAAUUCGUCGAUAUUCGGAAGAACACCAGUGGCGAAGGCGACUGACUGGACAAGUAUUGACGCUGAGGUGCGAAAGCGUGGGGAGCAAACAGG